UACGUAGGGGGCGAGCGUUGUCCGGAUUUAUUGGGCGUAAAGAGCUCGUAGGCGGUUCGAUAAGUCGGACGUGAAAUCUCCACGCUCAACGUGGAGGGGCCGUUCGAUACUGUCGUGACUCGAGUCCGGUAGGGGAGUGUGGAAUUCCCGGUGUAGCGGUGAAAUGCGCAGAGAUCGGGAGGAACACCAAUUGCGAAGGCAGCUCGCUGGGACGUUACUGACGCUGAGGCGCGAAAGCGUGGGGAGCAAACAGG
rnacentral:rRNA from 1 species